GAUGAACGCUGGCGGCGUGCCUAAUACAUGCAAGUCGAGCGAACGGACGAGAAGCUUGCUUUUCUGAUGUUAGCGGCGGACGGGUGAGUAACACGUGGAUAACCUACCUAUAAGACUGGGAUAACUUCGGGAAACCGGAGCUAAUACCGGAUAAUAUUUUGAACCGCAUGGUUCAAAAGUGAAAGACGGUCUUGCUGUCACUUAUAGAUGGAUCCGCGCUGCAUUAGCUAGUUGGUAAGGUAACGGCUUACCAAGGCGACGAUGCAUAGCCGACCUGAGAGAGUGAUCGGCGACACUGGAGGUGAGACGCGGUCCAGACUCCUACGGGAGGCAGCAGUAGGGAAUCUUCCGCAAGGGGCGAAAGCCUGACGGAGCAACGCGGCGUGAGUGAUGAAGGUGUUCGGAUCGUAAAACUCUGUUAUUAGUGAAGAACAUAUGUGUACGUAACUGUGCAGAUAUUGACGGUACCGGGUCAGAAAGCCACGGCUAACUACGUG
rnacentral:rRNA from 1 species